GGAAGAUACAAAAUAAUCAGGUUGGACACAGUCCCUGUCCCACAUAAUGCUCACAUUCUUAAUCCCCAUUUUCCAGAUGAGGGAACUGAGGCACAGAGAAGACAAGUGAUUUGCCCAAUCACACAGCGGACUAGUGGGGGAGCCCGAAUUAGAACCCAUGACCUUCUGACUCUCAGGCCCGUGCUCUAACCAUUAGGCCACGCUCGCUGUUUCUAAUGAGCACGAGGGUGCUAUGAGGCCAUAUCACAGGAAACCACCUUGACCCAGCCUUACGCCGAGGAGGAAGAGGGAAUCGUCACAAAGAGCUGAUUUGAAAUGAUGCCGGAGUCGACGCCGUUUGUCUGGCCCCUAUCCCGAGGAAGAAAAACGAAUCGCCUCUCCAUAACAACGGCAUCUGGGAGGCGAAGGAGGUUCAGGUGCAAGGAAGAGGCCGGUCGUGAGAGAAUCAGGAACGAGGCACCGAGGAAUGAGCUUGGAAGAAACGGAGAGUGGAGAAAUAGGAGGGAGAGAAGAUCAAGAGCCUUAAGGCAGGGCGGCCUAGUGGAUAUGACCCCGGGCCUCGGAGUCAGAGGACCUGGGUUCUAAUCCCGGCUCUGCCACUUGUCUUCAGGGUGACCUGGGCAAGGCACUUCCCUUCUCCCGGCCUCGGUUUCGUCAUCUGUAAAAUGUGGACUCGAUUAGCCUGGGAGCCCCAAGUGGAACAAGAACUGCUUAUGGCUAGAUUAGUUUGUAUCUACCUCAGAGUUUAGCACAGUUCUUAUCACCUAGUAAGCAGUCUACAAAUACCAUAUAUACCAAAAACAGAGACCACGAGAAACCUUCGGAGAUUUUUGAGGAGUGAUGAGCGUGGUGAAGUAGACAGAGCCCAGCCCUGGGAGUCAGAAGAUCACGGGUUCUAAUCCCGGCUCCACCACUUGUCUGCUAUGUGACCUUGGGCAAAUCACUUCACUUCUCUGUGCCUCCGUUCCCUCGACUGUAAAAUGGGGAUUGAGACUGUGAGCCCAUGUGGGACGGGGACUGUGUCAACCCGAUUUGCUGGUAUCCAUCCCAGUGCUUAGUACAGUGCCUGAAACAUAGUAAGCGCUUUAACAAACACCAUGUACAGAGUGACAUGGGGAAAGUGUGAACCGAUUACCAGAGUGAGGUACUGACUGGAGAAGGGAGGGGCCGGAGGUGGAGAGAUGGUCGAGCGGGCUGACAGAGCAGUCGAGCUAAGAUUUCUAAUCCCACCUCCUCCACUUAUCUGCUGUGUGACCUUGGGCGAGUUAUUUCACUUCUCUUUGCCUCAGUUACCUCAUCUGUCAAAUGGUUAUUGAGACAGUGAGCCCCGUGUAGGAGAGGGACUGUGUCCAUCCUGAUUACCUUUUACUCCAGUGCUUUCGAACAGUGCUUAGCACUGAGUGAACCCUUAACAAAUGUCAGAAUUGUUAUUAUUAUCAUCAUUAUCAUUUUGACCAGAUCAGGCUGGAUGAGCAAGGGUGGUGGCUAUUUGGAGAGAAAGGAAUGGGUAGCCUGACUAAGUGGAUAGAGCCUGGGCCUGGGAGCCAGAGGACCUGGGUUCUAAUCUCAGCUCCACCACUUGUCUGCUGUGUGACCUUGAGGAAGUCACUUCACUUCUCUGUGCCUCCAUUACCUCAUCUGCAAAAUGGAGAUCGAGACUGUGAGCCCCAUGUGGGACUGGGGCUGUAUACAACCCAAUUAUCUUAUAUCUAUCCCAACAUUUAACAUGGUGCCUGACACAUAGUAAGUAUUUAACAAAUACCACAAUCAUCUGUAAAAUGGAAAUUUAGACCGUGAGCCCUUUGGGGGACAGAGACAGUGUCCCACCCAAUUUUUUUUGUAUCCACCUCAGCACUCACUACAGUGCCUGGCACAUAGUAAGUGCUUAACAAAAACCACAGUUAUUUGGGAGGGAAGAUGAAGAGUUCAAUUUUAGGCCUAUAUACUUGAGCUGCCAAAGGGAAUAUCUUUUUUAUUUAUUUAUUUAUUUAUUUUAAUUUUAUUUUAUUUAUUUUGUUAAUGAGAUUUACAUCACCUUGAUUCUAUUUAUUUGCUAUUGUUUUAAUGAGAUGUUCAUCUCCUUGAUUCUAUUUAUUGCUAUUGUUUUUGUCUGUCUGUCUCCCCCGAUUAGACUGCUAGUACAGUGCUCUGCACAUAGUAAGCACUCAAUAAAUACUAUUGAAUGAAUGAAUGAAUGAAUGAAUAUCAGACAUCACUGUUACUUAUAUGUUAGUUAUUUAUUUACUUAGAUGUCAUUUAUUUAUACUAAUGUCUGUCUCCCCUUCUAGACCAACACUGUAGAAUCAUACUCUCCCAAUCACUUAAUACAGUGCUCUGCACAGAGGAAGCGCUCAAAAAUUAUUAGUGAUGAUGAUGAUGAUUGAUGAGAUGUUUCGCAAGCAAGAGGAAAUGUGAGAUUGCAAAUAGGGAGAGAGGUCGAGGAUGACAAGAUUGAUUACGAGAGGCAGCACGGCUUAGUGGAGAGAGCACAGACCUGGGAGUCAAAAGGACGUGGGUUCUAAUACCGGCUCUGCCAUUUUUCUGUUGUAUGACCUUGGGCAAGUCAUUUCACUUCUCUGAGCCUCCGUUACCUCAUUUAGACUGUGAGCCCGUCACUGGGCAGGGAUUGUCUCUAUCUGUUGCCGAAUUGUACAUUCCAAGCG
rnacentral:lncRNA from 1 species